rnacentral:rRNA from 1 species
GAGUCUUAACCGGGCGUUAAGUUGCAGGGUAUAGACCCGAAACCCGGUGAUCUAGCCAUGGGCAGGUUGAAGGUUGGGUAACACUAACUGGAGGACCGAACCGACUAAUGUUGAAAAAUUAGCGGAUGACCUGUGGCUGGGGGUGAAAGGCCAAUCAAACCGGGAGAUAGCUGGUUCUCCCCGAAAGCUAUUUAGGUAGCGCCUCGUGAAUUCAUCUCCGGGGGUAGAGCACUGUUUCGGCUAGGGGGCCAUCCCGGCUUACCAACCCGAUGCAAACUGCGAAUACCGGAGAAUGUUAUCACGGGAGACACACGGCGGGUGCUAACGUCCGUCGUGAAGAGGGAAACAACCCAGACCGCCAGCUAAGGUCCCAAAGUCAUGGUUAAGUGGGAAACGAUGUGGGAAGGCCCAGACAGCCAGGAUGUUGGCUUAGAAGCAGCCAUCAUUUAAAGAAAGCGUAAUAGCUCACUGGUCGAGUCGGCCUGCGCGGAAGAUGUAACGGGGCUAAACCAUGCACCGAAGCUGCGGCAGCGACACUGUGUGUUGUUGGGUAGGGGAGCGUUCUGUAAGCCUGUGAAGGUGUGUCGUGAGGCAUGCUGGAGGUAUCAGAAGUGCGAAUGCUGACAUAAGUAACGAUAAAGCGGGUGAAAAGCCCGCUCGCCGGAAGACCAAGGGUUCCUGUCCAACGUUAAUCGGGGCAGGGUGAGUCGACCCCUAAGGCGAGGCCGAAAGGCGUAGUCGAUGGGAAACGGGUUAAUAUUCCCGUACUUGGUGUUACUGCGAAGGGGGGACGGAGAAGGCUAUGUUGGCCGGGCGACGGUUGUCCCGGUUUAAGCGUGUAGGUGUGUGUUCCAGGUAAAUCCGGUUCACUUUAACACUGAGGCGUGACGACGAGGCACUACGGUGCUGAAGCAACAAAUGCCCUGCUUCCAGGAAAAGCCUCUAAGCAUCAGGUAACAUCAAAUCGUACCCCAAACCGACACAGGUGGUCAGGUAGAGAAUACCAAGGCGCUUGAGAGAACUCGGGUGAAGGAACUAGGCAAAAUGGUGCCGUAACUUCGGGAGAAGGCACGCUGACACGUAGGUGAAGUGAUUUACUCAUGGAGCUGAAGUCAGUCGAAGAUACCAGCUGGCUGCAACUGUUUAUUAAAAACACAGCACUGUGCAAACACGAAAGUGGACGUAUACGGUGUGACGCCUGCCCGGUGCCGGAAGGUUAAUUGAUGGGGUCAGCGCAAGCGAAGCUCCUGAUCGAAGCCCCGGUAAACGGCGGCCGUAACUAUAACGGUCCUAAGGUAGCGAAAUUCCUUGUCGGGUAAGUUCCGACCUGCACGAAUGGCGUAAUGAUGGCCAGGCUGUCUCCACCCGAGACUCAGUGAAAUUGAACUCGCUGUGAAGAUGCAGUGUACCCGCGGCAAGACGGAAAGACCCCGUGAACCUUUACUAUAGCUUGACACUGAACAUUGAGCCUUGAUGUGUAGGAUAGGUGGGAGGCUUUGAAGUGUGGACGCCAGUCUGCAUGGAGCCGACCUUGAAAUACCACCCUUUAAUGUUUGAUGUUCUAACGUGGACCCGUUACCCGGGUUGCGGACAGUGUCUGGUGGGUAGUUUGACUGGGGCGGUCUCCUCCUAAAGAGUAACGGAGGAGCACGAAGGUUGGCUAAUCCUGGUCGGACAUCAGGAGGUUAGUGCAAUGGCAUAAGCCAGCUUGACUGCGAGCGUGACGGCGCGAGCAGGUGCGAAAGCAGGUCAUAGUGAUCCGGUGGUUCUGAAUGGAAGGGCCAUCGCUCAACGGAUAAAAGGUACUCCGGGGAUAACAGGCUGAUACCGCCCAAGAGUUCAUAUCGACGGCGGUGUUUGGCACCUCGAUGUCGGCUCAUCACAUCCUGGGGCUGAAGUAGGUCCCAAGGGUAUGGCUGUUCGCCAUUUAAAGUGGUACGCGAGCUGGGUUUAGAACGUCGUGAGACAGUUCGGUCCCUAUCUGCCGUGGGCGCUGGAGAACUGAGGGGGGCUGCUCCUAGUACGAGAGGACCGGAGUGGACGCAUCACUGGUGUUCGGGUUGUCAUGCCAAUGGCACUGCCCGGUAGCUAAAUGCGGAAGAGAUAAGUGCUGAAAGCAUCUAAGCACGAAACUUGCCCCGAG